rnacentral:rRNA from 1 species
GACGAACGCUGGCGGCGUGCCUAAUACAUGCAAGUAGAACGCUGAAGAGAGGAGCUUGCUCUUCUUGGAUGAGUUGCGAACGGGUGAGUAACGCGUAGGUAACCUGCCUUGUAGCGGGGGAUAACUAUUGGAAACGAUAGCUAAUACCGCAUAACAAUGGAUGACACAUGUCAUUUAUUUGAAAGGGGCAAUUGCUCCACUACAAGAUGGACCUGCGUUGUAUUAGCUAGUAGGUGAGGUAAUGACUCACCUAGGCGACGAUACAUAGCCGACCUGAGAGGGUGAUCGGCCACACUGGGACUGAGACACGGCCCAGACUCCUACGGGAGGCAGCAGUAGGGAAUCUUCGGCAAUAGGGGCAACCCUGACCGAGCAACGCCGCGUGAGUGAAGAAGGUUGUCGGAUCGUAAAGCUCUGUUGUAAGUCAAGAACGGGUGUGAGAGUGGAAAGUUCACACUGUGACGGUAGCUUACCAGAAAGGGACGGCUAACUACGUG